AGCGAACGCUGGCGGUAGGCUUAACACAUGCAAGUCGAACGGCAGCACAGUAAGAGCUUGCUCUUACGGGUUGCGAGUGGCGGACGGGUGAGGAAUACAACGGACUCUACUUUUUCGUGGGGGAUCACGUAGGGAAACUUAAGCUCAUACAGCAUACGACCUUCGGGGGAAAGCAGGGGAUAUUCGGACCUUGCGCGGAUGAAUGCGCCGAUGUGGGAUUUGCUAGUGGGGGGGGUAAAUGCCAACCAAGUCGACGAUCCGUAGCUGGUCUGGGAGGAUGGUCGGCCGCGCGGGAAGUGAGACACGGUCCAGACUCCUGCGGGAGGCAGCAGUGGGGAAUAGUGGACAGUGGGCGCAAGCCUGGUCCAGCCAGACCGCGUGGGUGAAGGAGGCCUUCGGGUUGUAAAGCCCUUUUGUUGGGAGAGAAAAGCAGCAGGUUAAGACCCCGCUGUUCUGACGGUACCCAAUGAAUAAGCACCGGCUAACUUCGUG
rnacentral:rRNA from 1 species